GAUGAAGAACGUAGCGAAAUGCGAUACGUAAUGUGAAUUGCAGAAUUCAGUGAAUCAUCGAAUCUUUGAACGCAUAUUGCGCUCUCUGGUAUUCCGGAGAGCAUGCUUGUUUGAGUAUCAGUAAACACCUCAACUUCCAUAUCUUUUUUUGAAAUGGGAGUUGGACUUGAGUGAUCCCAACGCUUUUCCUCACCGAAAAGUGGCGGGUUACUUGAAAUGCAGGUGCAGCUGGACUUUUCUCUGAGCUAUAAGCAUAUCUAUUUAGUCUGCCUAAAAAACAGAUUAUUACCUUUGCUGCAGCUAACAUAAAGGAGAUUAGUUCUUGUGCUGACUGAUGCAGGAUUCACAAAGACAGCUUCGGCCGACUUUGUAAACUCGAUCUCAAAUCAAGUAAGACUACCCGCUGAACUUAAGCAUAUCAGUAAGCGGAGGA
rnacentral:misc_RNA from 1 species